rnacentral:rRNA from 1 species
UACUCCUACGGGAGGCAGCAGUGGGGAAUUUUGGACAAUGGGGGAAACCCUGAUCCAGCCAUCCCGCGUGUGCGAUGAAGGCCUUCGGGUUGUAAAGCACUUUUGGCAGGAAAGAAACGUCGCGGGUUAAUACCCCGCGAAACUGACGGUACCUGCAGAAUAAGCACCGGCUAACUACGUGCCAGCAGCCGCGGUAAUACGUAGGGUGCAAGCGUUAAUCGGAAUUACUGGGCGUAAAGCGUGCGCAGGCGGUUCGGAAAGAAAGAUGUGAAAUCCCAGAGCUUAACUUUGGAACUGCAUUUUUAACUACCGGGCUAGAGUGUGUCAGAGGGAGGUGGAAUUCCGCGUGCAGCAGUGAAAUGCGUAGAUAUGCGGAGGAACACCGAUGGCGAAGGCAGCCUCCUGGGAUAACACUGACGCUCAUGCACGAAAGCGUGGGGAGCAAACAGGAUUAGAUACCCUGGUAGUCCACGCCCUAAACGAUGUCAACUAGCUGUUGGGGCCUUCGGGCCUUGGUAGCGCAGCUAACGCGUGAAGUUGACCGCCUGGGGAGUACGGUCGCAAGAUUAAAACUCAAAGGAAUUGACGGA